UACGGAGGGUGCAAGCGUUAUCCGGAUUCACUGGGUUUAAAGGGUGCGUAGGUGGGUAGGUAAGUCAGUGGUGAAAUCUUCAAGCUUAACUUGGAAACUGCCAUUGAUACUAUUUAUCUUGAAUACUUUGGAGGUAAGCGGAAUAUGUCAUGUAGCGGUGAAAUGCUUAGAUAUGACAUAGAACACCUAUAGCGAAGGCAGCUUGCUGGGACGUUACUGACGCUAAGGCGCGAAAGCGUGGGGAGCGAACAGG
rnacentral:rRNA from 1 species